CCCUUAGAACUACCCUGUGAGAGAGGCUACACUAAGAGAUAAUGCUUGGUUCAGUGCCACCCAGAGAGCUUCAUGGCUGAAUGUGGAGGAUCUGGACUAAGGUAUUCUCAAUAGCUGUAAACCACAUUAAACUCAUACUUUUAAAUAGUUGAAAUUGAUGCCAUUUUAAAAGUCUGCCUUUACACUUUGGGAAAAAGAAGUAGCCUAAGAGGGAACUCUCAGGGGAGCAGCUCAGGAGCAAGGGCAAGGGCAACCAACACCUGUGCACGUGGUCAAAAGCAGAAAAAUCUUCCGUGGACUUCAAACCCUACUACUGUGGGAAUUCAAAACGUGGGAGAGAAGUGACACCUUCCAGUGCACCAACCCAUAUUGACAAACUUUUUUUUUUAAUAUUCAGGGUGAAUACAUAACAAGUUGCACUCCAAGCUUACCACGUAGAUUAUCUCCAUCAUACCACCCCUGUCAGAUGAGCCACAGUACGUUACUCAAGGACAUUACCCAUCCAAUAAAUGCAGGAAUUCCAGAGACAAGAACUCAUUUCCUCUAGGUCUACAUCUAGUAGUUGAUGAUUAUAAGCCAGGGGUUUUAAAACCUUUUUAAAAAAAAUCUUCAAAGUUGUCUCUGAAGCCAUGCUGCAUUCUGUAUUCUGUAUUUCCGUUGUUAGAUGUGACAAUUUCCUUUUCAAUAUGGUGAUGCAGAAUUGUGACCAGCAUAUUCCUACAUUUACCUUCCUUUCUUUAUUAGCUGAAGGGUACAUGACCCAUCAAGUCAGAAGCAGAAUAAUUUUGAAAAAUAUGCAUUAGGCCAUGAUCCAUCAGAGGUGAGGAAAAGCAAAGAAUCUUCAUCUUGCAGUGUUCAAAUAGUUAUGUUUAUGUAUGCUAGAUGUUGUGCAGGUUUAGCUAUGUAUCUUAUUUCUGCAGACCAGGGCUUCCACUCAUAUGAUCCAGUGUGGUGGAAUUGUUAGGGAGUCCCAUGUUGAAAUCCUCACUUAGCAGUGACGCACUGGGAGUCCUUGACCCAGUCACCUAACCUAACUCACAGGGUUGGUGUGAAAAUAAAGAUAUCACACUGAGAUUCUGGCUUUAGGAAAACAAUUAUCUGGCAUUUAUUAAAGAAAACACAUGCUUGAUAACCAGAACUAGGGAUCUUCCCCAACUAAGCUGAAAAUGCAAAGAGCCAUGCUUGUUCUUUCAUCUCUGAGGGGGGAGAGAGACAAAGGAAAGAUGUCUCCUCUUGCAGGAUGGGACAAGAAGAAGGGAGGAGCAGAAAAUGACUCUUAGCAAUCCUAAGAGUAUCAGUCUAGCACCUAAAGGAAAGUCAGAACAGGUUAGGUCAGCAAAAAAGCCUAGGAAACGUAGAGAUUUCCCUCUCUGUCUACCCCUCCACAUGCAAACCCAUCAGCAAGCUGCGUUGCAUCCCAGCACUUCCAACAAUUGGUAGGCUAAGAUGGCCAGCAUCUCUUUUGCCUGGAGAUUAUACUAGCUGUUUAUACAUACUGUCAUAACCUAUAGCCUAUAGAGCUACUGGAAUAA